GUGGGAGGGCUAUGCCUCUUCGGAGGAAUGUCUAACCGCGUGCCUUUUGCAUAAUGAGCCGGCUAGUUACUCUCAGUGGCAAGGUUAAGCUAAUGGCGAAGCCGCAGCGAAAGCGAGUCUGAAUAGGGCGUCGAGUCGCUGGGAGUAGACGCGAAGCGAAGUGAUCUAUCCUUGACCAGGGUGAAGCUCGGGUAAAACCGAGUGAAGGCCCGAACCAUUGUAGGAUAAAAACUGCUUGGAUGAGUUGAGGAUAGGGGUGAAAGGCCAAUCAAACUUCGUGAUAGCUCGUUCUCCCCGAAAUAGCUUUAGGGCUAGCCUCACGUGAUUCGUGAUGGUGGUAGAGCACUGAAUGGACGCAGGCCCUUCCCCGGGUACUAACUCCAAUCAAACUCCGAAUGCCAUCAACGUUAACGUGGGAGUCAGACAGUGUGAGAUAAGUUGCAUUGUCGAGAGGGAAACAGCCCAGACCGCCAGCUAAGGUCCCCAAAUAAUAACUAAGUGGGCAAGGAUGUGGGGUUGCAUAAACAGCCAGGAGGUUGGCUUAGAAGCAGCCACCCUUUAAAGAAAGCGUAAUAGCUCACUGGUCGAGCGAUCCUGUGCCGACAAUUCAACGGGGCUUAAGUUAUUUACCGAAGCUGCGGAUUCGAUCUUUAGAUCGAGUGGUAGGGGAGCGUUCUGUAUGAGAUACAAGGUAGACUGUAAAGACUGCUAACGGCAUACAGAAGAGACUCUGCCGGCACGAGUAGCGAUAAAACGGAUGAGAACUCCGUUCGCCGAAAGCCCAAGGUUUCCUAGGCAAGGGCAAUCCUCCUAGGGUGAGUCGGUCCCUAAGGCGAGGCCGAAAGGCGUAGUCGAUGGGAAACAGGUUAAUAUUCCUGUACCACUCAAUUCUCGUUUGUACGAUGGGGUGACGCAGAAAGGUAGACCAGCCUGCGACCGGAGGUGCAGGUUGAAGCAUGUAGGGGGGUCCGAUAGGUAAAUCCGUUGGACCAUUAACCCUGAGGUGUGAUCGCGAGUCCUCUUUUGGACGAAGUGGUGGAUCCUACGCUGCCAAGAAAAACCUCUAAGGAGAGAAUUGGGUGACCGUACCGUAAACGGACACACGUGGGCGAGGUGAGUAUCCACAGGCGCUUGAGUGAACCCUUGUGAAGGAACUCGGCAAAAUAGCACCGUAACUUCGGGAGAAGGUGCGCCCUCAUAACGUGAAAGCCCUUGCGGCUGGAGCGGAAGGGGGCUGCAGUGAAAAGGCCCAGGCGACUGUUUACUAAAAACACAGGACUCUGCUAAGUUGUUAAGACGACGUAUAGGGUCUGACGCCUGCCCGGUGCCGGAAGGUUAAGAGGAGGGGUUAGCUUCGGCGAAGCUCUGAAUUGAAGCCCCGGUAAACGGCGGCCGUAACUAUAACGGUCCUAAGGUAGCGAAAUUCCUUGUCGGGUAAGUUCCGACCUGCACGAAUGGCGUAACGAUCUGGGCACUGUCUCCACAAGGGGCUCAGCGAAACUGUAGUACCGGUGAAGAUGCCGGUUACCCGCGGUAAGACGGAAAGACCCUGUGAACCUUUACUAUAGCUUGGCACUGGCUUUUGUUGUUGCAUGUGCAGGAUAGGUGGGAGGCUUUGAAGUCGGAGCGUCAGCUUCGGUGGAGCCAUCCUUGAGAUACCACCCUUGCUGCAUUGAAAGUCUAACCCAGACCCGUUAUCCGGGUCGGGGACAGUGUCUGGUGGGUAGUUUGACUGGGGCGGUCGCCUCCCAAAAUGUAACGGAGGCGCCCUAUGGUACCCUCAGGCUGAUUGGAAACCAGCCGUAGAGCGCAAAGGUAUAAGGGUGCUUGACUGCGAGACAUACAGGUCGAGCAGGUACGAAAGUAGGGCUUAGUGAUCCGGCGAUUCCGAGUGGAAGGGUCGUCGCUCAACGGAUAAAAGGUACUCCGGGGAUAACAGGCUUAUCCUGCCCAAGAGUUCACAUCGACGGCAGGGUUUGGCACCUCGAUGUCGGCUCAUCGCAUCCUGGGGCUGAAGCAGGUCCCAAGGGUUCGGCUGUUCGCCGAUUAAAGCGGUACGUGAGCUGGGUUUAGAACGUCGUGAGACAGUUCGGUCCCUAUCUACCGUGGGCGGAGGAGACUUGAGGAGAUCUGUCCCUAGUACGAGAGGACCGGGAUGGACGAACCUCUGGUGCACCAGUUGUCGUGCCAACGGCAUAGCUGGGUAGCUACGUUCGGAAAGGAUAACCGCUGAAAGCAUCUAAGCGGGAAGCCCACUCCAAGAUGAGGUCUCCCGGGCGCAAGCCCCUAAAGAUCCCAGGAAGACUACCUGGUUGA
rnacentral:rRNA from 1 species